rnacentral:misc_RNA from 1 species
GAACGCACAUUGCGCCCCUUGGUAUUCCGAGGGGCAUGCCCGUUCGAGCGUCAUUAUAACCCCUCAAGCCCAGCUUGGUGUUGGGGCCUGCUGUUGUCGGCAGCCCUUAAAAUCAGUGGCGGUGCCAUCUGGCUCUAAGCGUAGUAAUACUUCUCGCUACAGGGUCCCGGUGGAUGCCUGCCAUCAACCCCUAAAUUUCUAUGGUUGACCUCGGAUCGGGUAGGGAUACCCGCUGAACUUAAG